rnacentral:rRNA from 1 species
AACGAACGCUGGCGGCAGGCCUAACACAUGCAAGUCGAACGCUCUAGCAAUAGAGAGUGGCAGACGGGUGAGUAACGCGUGGGAAACUUCCUAGGGGUACGGAAUAGCUCAGGGAAACUUGGGGUAAUACCGUAUGAUGCCGUAAGGCCAAAGAUUUAUCGCCCUUAGAUGUGCCCGCGUCGGAUUAGCUAGUUGGUGAGGUAAUGGCUCACCAAGGCGACGAUCUGUAGCUGGUUUGAGAGAAUGACCAGCCACACUGGGACUGAGACACGGCCCAGACUCCUACGGGAGGCAGCAGUGGGGAAUCUUGGACAAUGGGCGCAAGCCUGAUCCAGCCAUGCCGCGUGAGUGACGAAGGCCUUAGGGUUGUAAAGCUCUUUUGCCGGGGACGAUAAUGACGGUACCCGGAGAAUAAGUCCCGGCUAACUUCGUGCCAGCAGCCGCGGUAAUAC